CAGUGGGAACGAAAGAGAUAAGGAGAAUUAGUUGAGAGCCUUUAAAGAAAUUGGCCCCAAGACCCUUCCCUUUACCCCAGCCUUGACACAGCCAAUGAGAGCUCUUUCCUCAUCCACGCAGAAGACAGAAGACUAGGGUUUAAGUCCCAGGGAGAGUCUAGACCAGGAAACUGUAUGCACAGUUGAGGCAGAAGUAUCUUACUGAAGAGAGGAGGUGCUCCACCAGAUUGAGGGGGAAGACCAAGGGAAUGCCAAGGCAGCAGUGAGUAGACAUUUCAAGCAAAGAAAAGUGACCUAAUACACCGAGAGAUGCUUCUCUUGGGAAUAGAAUAGCUUCGGUCCUUGAAAACAGUCAUUGCCCAGAAUUUGAUGUGGACACAUUUGUAUCUCUUGAGAGAAGCCCCCUAAGAAGGUGAAGAUCAAGCAUUAACUUUCCUGGAGGUUCAUCACCAAUUCUCAGAGGAAAACAAGCAACGUAAAGCACUAUAGCAGACUUGGUUUCCCCAGCAGCUCCUCAAAGGCAGGGAUGGGCCACACAGCCUGCACAUCAGAACCAUGCCUGCUGCAAGCGCGUCCUAGGUGUGUCUUCAGGAGACUUCAGCUCUGGCCAGCACCAGGACUGAGGCCUGUGGGAGACCCCAGGGCAGAGCCCAAAACAUGCUCUGAUGCCUGCUACAUAAAAACUGUGAGAGAAAAAGAUAAGGAACUCUGAGAGUGCCAUGACACAAGCCAAGGCCGGUGCUGUGGUCUGGGGGUGGAGCUACCACCUGGCUGCCCCACUUUCAAUCCAGCUCUCUGCUGUGGCCUGGGAGGGCAGUAGAGGAUGGCCCAGGUCCUCGGGCCCCUGCACCCACGUGGGAGACCCAGAAGAAGCUCCUGGCUCCUGGCUUCCAAUCAGCACAGCUCUCACCAUUGUGGCCAUCUGGAGGAUGGACCAGCAGAUGGAAGACCUCUCUCUCUCUCUCUCUCUCUCUCUCUCUCUCUCUCUGCCUCUGACUCUCUGUCACCCUGCCUUUCAAAUAAAUAAUAAAUCUUUUUAAAAAAUUAUUUUUCUAUAAAAAAAAGAAAAGAAACAUUUUAAGAGGGAUGAGAACACCAGUCCUGGAGUGUCAGCAGCUACACAGAGAAGCAGUAUUGUGGCUUGAGACACAGUGUGAUUGGCUCACUGGAGAUUGCUGGAGCUAUGGAGGAAAACUUUCUAUUAGUGGCAAGGUCCAAAGAUCUCAAGUGCUGAGCAAGUAAAAGAGAAGCAGGUUGUGUGUGUGCAUUU